rnacentral:rRNA from 1 species
UACGAAGGGGGCUAGCGUUGCUCGGAAUCACUGGGCGUAAAGCGCACGUAGGCGGACUCUUAAGUCGGGGGUGAAAUCCUGGAGCUCAACUCCAGAACUGCCUUCGAUACUGGAAAGCUCGAGUCCGGGAGAGGUGAGUGGAACUGCGAGUGUAGAGGUGAAAUUCGUAGAUAUUCGCAAGAACACCAGUGGCGAAGGCGGCUCACUGGCCCGGUACUGACGCUGAGGUGCGAAAGCGUGGGGAGCAAACAGG